GUGUGGAGCAUGUGGAAAAUAUAGGAAGUCAUUACUACCAUACAUUGAGACUCUGGAGAAAAAAUUUCUUGGACAAUCAGAGCAAAAUUCUUAGCAUGGGAUUCGAUGAGAAGUUCAUUAGGACAUGGGAAUACUACUUUGAUUACUGUGCAGCUGGAUUUAAAUCAUAUACGAUUGGGGAUUAUCAGGUUGCAUUCUCUCGUACUGGAAACACUGAGACAUUGGGGUAUCCAUACAAAGGUUUUCCAUCAGCAUACUCUCACUUGUCUUCCACAGAAGGCCAAUGAACCAAUCGACCAAACCAGUUGUGCAGCUCUUCUCUUUUUAUUUGUUAUUUAAGAAUUUGGUAACAGCAUCAAUAAAUUUGUUCAAUUGAAAAGUCUAAUCAAUAAAAAUUUCAUUAAUUA